rnacentral:rRNA from 1 species
AAAAACUAAAACGUGGGCUAUAAAAUUUUUCUUUUUCUUUUUUAUACACAAUGACAAUAUCUAUCUUAAUAAAUAUCUUAGCUUUUGCUACAUUAUUAUCGGGUGUUUUUUCAAUUACUUCUAAAAAUCCAGUAAUUUCAGUAAUUUUUUUAAUUGGUACUUUUGUUCUAUCUGCAGGUUAUCUUAUUUUAAUUGGGGUGAAUUUUGUAAGUAUUUCUUAUAUAAUUGUAUACGUAGGAGCUAUAGCUGUUCUAUUUUUAUUUGUUAUUAUGAUGAUUAAUAUAAAAUUAACAGAUAUAUUAGAGACUGGUACU